GUGCCAGCCGCCGCGGUAAUACGGAGGAUGCAAGCGUUAUCCGGAAUGAUGGGGCGUAAAGCGUCCGCAGGUGGCAGUACAAGUCUGCUGUCAAAGGUCAAGGCUUAACUUUGGACAGGCAGUGGAAACUGUACAGCUAGAGUAUGGUGGGGGCAGAGGGAAUUCCCAGUGUAGCGGUGAAAUGCGUAGAGAUUGGGAAGAACACCAGUGGCGAAGGCGCUCUGCUAGGCCAAAACUGACACUCAGGGACGAAAGCUAGGGGAGCGAAUGGGAUUAGAUACCCCAGUAGUCCUAGCCGUAAACGAUGGAUACUAGGUGUAGCUUGUAUCGACCCAAGCUGUGCCGUAGCUAACGCGUUAAGUAUCCCGCCUGGGGAGUACGCCGGCAACGGUGAAACUCAAAGGAAUUGACGGGGGCCCGCACAAGCGGUGGAGUAUGUGGUUUAAUUCGAUGCAACGCGAAGAACCUUACCAGGGCUUGACAUGUCUGGAAUUCCGGCGAAAGUUGGAAGUGCCUUAGGGAGCCAGAACACAGGUGGUGCAUGGCUGUCGUCAGCUCGUGUCGUGAGAUGUUGGGUUAAGUCCCGCAACGAGCGCAACCCUCGUGUUUAGUUGCCAGCGGGUAAAGCCGGGCACUCUAGAGAGACUGCCGGUGACAAACCGGAGGAAGGUGGGGAUGACGUCAAGUCAGCAUGCCCCUUACGUCCUGGGCUACACACGUACUACAAUGCUACGGACAAAGGGCAGCAAGCAUGCGAAUGCAAGCAAAUCCCAUAAACCGUGGCUCAGUUCAGAUUGCAGGCUGCAACUCGCCUGCAUGAAGGCGGAAUCGCUAGUAAUCGCAGGUCAGCCGUACUGCGGUGAAUACGUUCCCGGGCCUUGUACGCACCGCCCGUCACACCAUGGAAGCUGGCAGUGCCCGAAGUCGUUACCCCAACCGUUCGCGGAGGGGGAUGCCGAAGGCAGGGCUGAUGACUGGGGUGAAGUCGUAACAAGGUAACC
rnacentral:rRNA from 1 species